rnacentral:rRNA from 1 species
ACGUAGGGGGCAAGCGUUGUUCGGAUUUACUGGGCGUAAAGGGCGCGUAGGCGGCGUGACAAGUCACUUGUGAAAUCUCCGGGCUUAACUCGGAACGGCCAAGUGAUACUGUCGUGCUAGAGUACGGAAGGGGCAAUCGGAAUUCUUGGUGUAGCGGUGAAAUGCGUAGAUAUCAAGAGGAACACCUGAGGUGAAGACGGGUUGCUGGGCCGAUACUGACGCUGAGGCGCGAAAGCUAGGGUAGCAAACG